CCUACGGGAGGCUGCAGUGAGGAAUAUUGGUCAAUGGCCGUAAGGCUGAACCAGCCAAGUAGCGUGAGGGAAGACUGCCCUAUGGGUUGUAAACCUCUUCUAUGCGGGGAUAAAGGUGUCCACGUGUGGAUGUUUGCAGGUACCGCAUGAAUAAGGACCGGCUAAUUCCGUGCCAGCAGCCGCGGUAAUACGGAAGGUCCGGGCGUUAUCCGGAUUUAUUGGGUUUAAAGGGAGCGUAGGCCGGUCUUUAAGCGUGCCGUGAAAUUUUGUGGCUCAACCAUGGGAGUGCGGCGCGAACUGGAGUCCUGGAGUGCGCGGAAGGCAGGCGGAAUGCGUGGUGUAGCGGUGAAAUGCUUAGAUAUCACGAAGAACCCCGAUUGCGAAGGCAGCUUGCCGGAGCGUUACUGACGCUGAAGCUCGAAAGCGCGGGUAUCGAACAGGAUUAGAUACCCGUGUAGUC
rnacentral:rRNA from 1 species